rnacentral:rRNA from 2 species
GCGGCGGACGGGUGAGUAACACGUGGGCAACCUGCCUGUAAGACUGGGAUAACUUCGGGAAACCGAAGCUAAUACCGGAUAGGAUCUUCUCCUUCAUGGGAGAUGAUUGAAAGAUGGUUUCGGCUAUCACUUACAGAUGGGCCCGCGGUGCAUUAGCUAGUUGGUGAGGUAACGGCUCACCAAGGCAACGAUGCAUAGCCGACCUGAGAGGGUGAUCGGCCACACUGGGACUGAGACACGGCCCAGACUCCUACGGGAGGCAGCAGUAGGGAAUCUUCCGCAAUGGACGAAAGUCUGACGGAGCAACGCCGCGUGAGUGAUGAAGGCUUUCGGGUCGUAAAACUCUGUUGUUAGGGAAGAACAAGUACGAGAGUAACUGCUCGUACCUUGACGGUACCUAACCAGAAAGCCACGGCUAACUACGUGCCAGCAGCCGCGGUAAUACGUAGGUGGCAAGCGUUAUCCGGAAUUAUUGGGCGUAAAGCGCGCGCAGGCGGUUUCUUAAGUCUGAUGUGAAAGCCCACGGCUCAACCGUGGAGGGUCAUUGGAAACUGGGGAACUUGAGUGCAGAAGAGAAAAGCGGAUUCCACGUGGUAGCGGUUGAAAUGCGUAGAGAUGU